rnacentral:rRNA from 1 species
GAUGAACGCUGGCGGCGUGCCUAAUACAUGCAAGUCGAGCGAACGGACGAGAAGCUUGCUUCUCUGAUGUUAGCGGCGGACGGGUGAGUAACACGUGGAUAACCUACCUAUAAGACUGGGAUAACUUCGGGAAACCGUAGCUAAUACCGGAUAAUAUUUUGAACCGCAUGGGUCAAAGGUGAAAGACGGUCUUGCUGUCACUUAUAGAUGGAUCCGCGCUGCAUUAGCUAGUUGGUAAGGUAACGGCUUACCAAGGCAACGAUGCCUAGCCGACCUGAGAGGGUGAUCGGCCACACUGGAGCUGAGACACGGUCCAGACUCCUACGGGAGGCAGCAGUAGGGAAUGUUCCGCAAUGGGCGAAAGCCUGACGGAGCAACGCCGCGUGAGUGAUGAAGGUCUUCGGAGCGUAAAACUCUGUUAUUAGGGAAGAACAGAUGUGUAAGUAACUGUGCACAUCUUGACGGUACCGAAUCAGAAAGCCACGGCUAACUACGUG